AUUGAACGCUGGCGGCAGGCCUAACACAUGCAAGUCGAGCGAGCGGCGGACGGGUGAGUAAUGUAUGGGGACUGCCCGAUAGAGGGGGAUAACUACUGGAAACGGUGGCUAAUACCGCAUACUAUCGGAUAACCCAUAUGGGAUUAGCUAGUAGGUGGGGUAAAGGCUCACCUAGGCGACGAUCUCUAGCUGGUCUGAGAGGAUGAUCAGCCACACUGGGACUGAGACACGGCCCAGACUCAUGCGGAGGCAGCAGUGGGGAUUAUUGCACAAUGGGCGAAAGCCUGAUGCAGCCAUGCCGCGUGUAUGAAGAAGGCCUUAGGGUGGUAAAGUACUGUCAGCGGGGAGGCGUUACCUGUAGACGAAGCACCGGCUAACUCCGCGCCAGCAGCCGCGGUAAUAC
rnacentral:rRNA from 1 species